AUUGAACGCUGGCGGCAUGCCCUACACAUGCAAGUCGAACGGCAGCACGGGUGCUUGCACCUGGUGGCGAGUGGCGAACGGGAGAGGAAUACAUCGGAACGUACCUUAUCGAGGGGGAUAACAAAUUGAAAAAAUUGCUAAUACCGCAUAAUACUCUGAGGAGGAAAGCGGGGGAUUCGGAAGAACCUCGUGCAAUUAGUGCGGCCGGUGGCUGAUUAGCUAGUUGGUGAGGUAAAGGGCCACCAAGGCAACGAUCAGUAGCAGGUCUGAGAGGAUGAUCUGCCACACUGGAACUGAGAAACGGUCCAGACUCCUACGGGAGGCAGCAGUGGGGAAUUUUGGACAAUGGACGAAAGUCUGAUCCAGCAAUGCCGCGUGAGUGAAGAAGGCCUUCGGGUUGUAAAGCUCUUUUGUCAGUGAAGAAAACUUUAGUAAUAACACUAUUAAAGCAUGACGGUAACUGAAGAAUAAGGACCGGCUAACUACGUGCCAGCCGCCGCGGUAA
rnacentral:rRNA from 1 species